CUAGACUCCAAAAAGCUCACAGCCGUCACCCCUCAUAUCAUCUUCAUCUACACACCCUAAAUAAGAAAACCCUAAUCCCCCUGAACAGAAGACCACAGCGGGCGCGCCCCUUGAAAAAUUGAGCGUCGCUGCCCUCCUCCAGCGAAUUCCUCCAUUCCAACGCCCAGCUUCACCCUUGACACCGGCAGACCACCCCAUCUCCACCUCCAUUCUGCCAUUCAAAACCCAACGACUAGACACCACAUCCCAGCCGCCCUGUUCUUCAUCCUUCUUUAGAUAGUCAAAAAGACCAAAUCCUUCCCCACUCUCAUCUCUCCCCUCAUUCUCAAACACACACGCACACACACGAAAACAGAGAGGAGGAGAACGGACGUGAAAACAGGGCAAAAGAUACAGAACAAAAACGGAGAAUGAAGCGGCGAUAAGAACGAGCCUUCUCUACCCUUAACCUAGAGCAUCCGCCAGCUCCUCUCCAAGCCGUCCACCAGCUCCACGCACAGCGCUUCACCACCAAACCAACAAUCACCUUCACCAACUUUAACCAAAAAAGAUACCUAACCCUAGAGAGACAGCAGCAGUCGCAUCUCCAGCCUUCUGCCGCCGACCACCCAUAUCCAGCCAAUCCCUGAACCCUAGAAACCCCCCCCCCCCGGCCUAAUCUUCUUCUCCGACCUGAAGAGAACCCUAGGACACAACACCAGCGACCAUCCCACCAGCCGCCCACACCCUUCACCAUCCAGUCGUCGCUGCUCCCUCAUCACCAUAACUGGCCAGAAUCCGGGGACCACACACACACAUACAAUAGCGAAAAACAGAGGAAGGGAACGGACAAACAAAAAGGGGAAACGGGAAGAGUGACCAAAACAGACAUGGAGCGUUCCCAUGAUUUUCAAGCAAAUUCAACUUCAUGAUCUUCUUCACAGCAAAAGUUUUGUGGAGAUUUCUGGAUUUGGUUUCAAAUUCCCAAGUCGGAUGUUUUAGUUAGUCUACAAUCUCGAAAUUUGGGGACCCGUCCGAAGUUGCUGAUCGUAGAGGUUAUCCGAUCGAAGGUUCCGGCCGCCGAUUCAAUUUGUUUGCCAUGUUUCAAUACGUUUAUUUGAUUUUUGUGAAGAAAUUUUCAGCAGCUUCAAGAGGUAUGGAUCCAUAUACCAGGACUCGAGCAUGACAGAUAUCCCAGGACCACUGCAUUCAGGAGCUGCUUAAAGAUACUUUUAUGUUUUGAAUCUGUCAUUCAUGUUGUCUUUUACUUUCUAGUCUUGUACAGUAAUAUCGAGUCUUUUAUUAUAGUACUUCCCAUUUUGUAUUUGAAAAACCAAAAAAAAAGUUUUAAAUGAAUAAUCCAAAAAGAUUUUUGUUUUUA